GACGAACGCUGGCGUCGUGCUUAACACAUGCAAGUCGAACGGUAAGGCCACUCGGGGUACAAUACUGGCCAACGGGCGAGUAACACGUGGGUGAUCUGCCCUGCACCUCGGGAUAAGCCUGGGAAACUGGGUCUAAUACCGGAUAGGAAUCUGGUCUGCAUGGUCUGGGGUGUAAAGCUUUUGCGGUGUGGGAUGGGCUCGUGGCCUAUCAGCUUGUUGGUGGGGUGAUGGACUACCAAGGCGACGACGGGUAGCCGGUCUGAGAGAGUGACCGGCCCCACUGGGACUGAGACACGGCCCAGACUCCUACGGGUGGCAGCAGUGGGGAAUCUUGCACAAUGGGCGGAAGCCUGGUGCAGCAAAGCCGCGUGAGGGAUGACGGCCUUCGGGUUGUAAACCUCUUUUAGCAGGGAAGAAGCGAAAGUGACGGUACCUGCAGAAAAAGCACCGGCUAACUACGUGCCAGCCGCCGCAGUAA
rnacentral:rRNA from 1 species